rnacentral:rRNA from 1 species
GACGAACGCUGGCGGCGUGCUUAACACAUGCAAGUCGAACGGUGAAGCGCCUUCCUUUUUGGUGGGUGUGGAUGAGUGGCGAACGGGUGAGUAACACGUGAGUAACCUGCCCCCUUCUUCUGGAUAACCGCAUGAAAGUGUGGCUAAUACGGGAUAUUCUGGGUCUGUCGCAUGAUGGGUCUGGGAAAGAUAUUGUUUCGGUGGGGGAUGGGCUCGCGGCCUAUCAGCUUGUUGGUGGGGUGAUGGCCUACCAAGGCGGUGACGGGUAGCCGGCCUGAGAGGGUGGACGGUCACACUGGGAAGGAGACACGGCCCAGACUCCUACGGGAGGCAGCAGUGGGGAAUAUUGCACAAUGGGCGCAAGCCUGAUGCAGCGACGCCGCGUGAGGGAUGGAGGCCUGCGGGUUGUGAACCUCUUUCGCCAGUGAAGCAGGCCUGCCUCGUUUGUGGGUGGGUUGACGGUAGCUGGAGAAGAAGCGCCGGCUAACUACGUG